rnacentral:lncRNA from 1 species
AUGCCCCUGCACUCCAGCCUGGCUGACAGCGUGAGACCUUGUCUCAAAGCAAAAAGAAACAAGAAAAAAGACAAAACGGGAGGGAGCUUGUCUGCUGCUGCCCCCACGCAAGGAUGCAGGGAGAAGGUGCCGCCUGUGGGGCUCGUCCCCCGCUUCCCCCACGCGGAAUGCAGGGAGAAGGUGCCGUCUAUGAACCAAGAAGUGGCCCUCGCCAGACACCGACUUUGUGGUUAUAAGCCACUUGGACUGUGGUGGUUUGCCACUGCAGUGUGAACUGACUGAGGCAGGGAGUGGGGCUCCCCUCGUGACAUGAAGGCAUAAAGAACAGAGCCAGCUGAGAGAGGGGAAGAAUGCAGGGGACUGGCCUGGGCAACCCUGUCCGGUGAGGUGCCCCCAGCCGCGAGCACCCUGGGAAGCUUGGCGAAUGUUUAGGACUGACUGACAGACAAGCUCAGAGUCAGGUGAGGGCAGCUGAGGGGCACUAGUGCCCUCACAGCACCCUCAGUGGGUGCCCAGCACCGGUUCCCUGUGCCCAGGGUCCUCUACUCGUCACCCAGCCCUGCAAGGCAGGACCCUCACCUGCACCUGGCUGGAGAGGACGCAGGAAACGUGCAGUGAUGUGGUCUCUGCUCUGGCUGUAAGAGACUGUGGGCUCCCCAGACUGACUCCAGCACACAGUGGCAGAGCGGCCCAGCCUGGGGACCUGGGGCAGGAACAUUCCUUCACGGGGGCCCCAGAGAGCUGGAAAGUCCUGUGGGUGUUGCCCUAAAAUGAGAGAAUUACUUUCAUCUGAACAGAACAUGCUCGUGAAACCUAGACCAGGAAGAAUUUCCUUUUUCAGGGCCUGAGGAAAAUGAGCUGAGCAGUGGGUGAGAGUUCGGAAGGACGCACCUGGCGCCUGCACACGGCGCUUCCUGAGGGCUUUCUUCAUUCAUCGACUUUUUUUUUUUUUGAAACGGAGUUUCGCUCUCGUCGUUACCCAGGCUGGAGUGCAAUGGUGUGAUCUCGGCUCACCGCAACCUCCGCCUCCUGGGUUCAGGCAAUUCUCCUGCCUCAGCCUCCUGAGUAGUUGGGAUUACAGGCACGCGCCACCAUGCCCGGCUGAUUUUUUGUAUUUUUAGUAGAGACGGGGUUUCACCAUGUUGACCAGGAUGGUCUCGAUCUCUUGACCUCGUGAUCCACCCGCCUCGGCCUCCCAAAGUGCUGGGAUUACAGGCUUGAGCCACUGCGUCCGACCCUCAUCGGCUUCUUUUACUUUCUCUAGGUCUGUGGUGCUUGGACAUCUUGGGGUCUUACGGACCUGGAAAGGGACUGCCCUCUCAGGGUUAGCUCAUUCCUAGAGAUAGCAGGCCACUUGUCUCCAAGUAUGCCUUAUUUAUUUAUAUUUUUUGAAAUGGAGUUUUAUUCUUUUUGUCCAGGCUGGAGUGCAAUGGUGUGAUCUCAGCUCACCGCAACCUCUGCCUCCCAGGUUCAAGCAAUUCUCCUGCCUCCGCCUCCCAGGUAGCUGGGAUUACAGGCGCCCAACACCAUGCCCGGCUAGUUUUUUGUACUUUUAGUAGAGAUGGGUUUCACCAUGUUGGCCAGGCUGGUCUUGAACUCCUGACCUCAGGUGAUCCGCCGGCCUCAGCCUCCCAAAGUGCUGGUAUUGAAGGCGUGCCUGGCCUCAACUCUUCUUUCAAAGGCAGUUGUCUCUGUGUCUGUCAUCUUAUCACACCUGAUUAAAACAACUCCUGGGUACUGUGAACAGCACUGUCUCCCACGCAGCAGUCAGCAGGGGAAACAAGCAGGGCGGGUGUGCGGGCUACUGUGGACUUCUCACCCACUCUGCUGCCUGGCCUUGGGCAAGUGCUUCCAUCUGAGUUUCCAUUUCCUUGUCUGUGUAAGAGGCAGAAGCACAAGCCACCCUAGCACUGAAGGGUGUGCCAGAGGACACACGUCUGGUGGACGGACUGCUAAGAAGGCAAGUCCACGUUCCUGUCUGUUCCCCACAACUUGAGUGAGACAUAGUGAGGCUCCAGUCCACCUUCCACCAGAGAAAUCAAGGGCCAGGCAGGGACAGUGGCUUAUACCUGUCAUCCAGCACUUUGGGAGGCAGAGGCAGGAGGACAGCUUGAGCACAGGAGUUCCAGACCAGUCUGGGCAACAGAGUGAGCUCCCUGUUUUUUGUCUGUACAAAAAAUUUAAAAGUUAGCUGUGCAUGGUAGUGGGUGACUGUGGCUCAGCUACUUGGGAGCUGAGGCAGGAGGAUCCCUUGAGCCCAGGCGGUCGAGGCUGCAGUGACUUAUGAUCACACCACUGCACUCCAGCCUGGGCCACAGAGUGAGACUGUCUUUAAAAAAAAAAAAUUAGGCCAGUCACAAUGGCUCACACCUGUCAUCCCAGCACUUUGGGAGGCCGAAGUGAGAGGAUUGUUUGAGCCCAGAGGUUCAAGACCAGCCUGGGAAACAUGGCAAAACACCAUCUGCAACAAAAAUACACAAAUUAGCCAGGCAUGGUGGUGAAUGCCCAUGGUCUCAGCUACUGGGGAGGCUGAGGAGGAAAGAUCACUUGAGCCCAGAAGACGGAAAUCGCAGUGAGCUGAGAUGGCACCAUUGCAUUCCAGCCUGGGCAACAGAGAUGGACUCUGUUUCUCUCUCUCUCUCUCUUUUUUUUUUUUUUUUUUGAGACAGUUUUUGCUCUUGCUGUCCAGGAUGGAGUGCAAUGGCACGAUCUCGGCUCACUGCAACCUUCACCUCCCGGGUUCAAGUGAUUCUCCUGCCUCAGUCCCUGGGUAGCUGGGAUUACAGUCAUGUGCCACCAUGACCGGCUAAUUUUAUAUUUUUAGUAGAGAUGGGUCAGGCUGACCAUGCUGGGCAGGCUGGUCUCGAACUCCUGACCUCAGAUGAUCCACCCACCUCAUCCUCCCAAAGUGCUGAGAUUACAGGCGUGAGCCAGCACACCUGGCUUUUUUUUUUUUUUUGAGAGGGAGUCUCACUUUGUUGCCCAAGCUGGAGUGCAGUGGUGUGAUCUCGGCUCACUGCAACCUCCACCUCGCAGGUUCAAGCGAUUCUCCUGACUCAGCCUCCUGAGUAGCUGGGAUUACAGACACACACCACCAUGCCCAGCUAAUUUUUGUAUUUUUAGUAGAGAUGGGGGUUUCACUAUGUUAGUCAGGCUGGUCUUGAACUCCUGACCUUGUGAUCUGCCUGCCUCGGUCUCCCAAAGUGCUGGGAUUACAGGCGUGAGCCACUGCGCCCAGCUGAGACUCUGUCUCUAAUUAAAUAAAUAAAUGAAUAAAUAAAUAAAUAUAUUUUUAAAAACCCUUAGGGGCCCAGCACAGUGGCUCACACUUGUAAUCCCAGCAGUUCGAGAGGCUGAGGCAGGAGGAUGGUUUGGGUCCAGGAGAUCCAGGCUGUAGUAAGCCAUGAUGGCACCACUAGACUCCAGCCUGGUUAACAGAGUAAAACCGUAUCAAGAAAAGGAAAGAAAUCAAAACCUAACAAACCCAGAAAUCCAUCCUGCUCGAACAGCACUGUGGUUGAACAUCGGCUGACAUGUGUUGCAGUAAUUAUUUUGAUGUCUGUGAAUGUCCUUGGCUGAUUUCUGUAUUAGGGCCAGGGUGAUUUCCUUUCGUUUCCAAUAUUUAAGUUAUGUCCUGGUUUACUGGGACAAUAUUUCUAUUGUGGGAAACACAGAAGCAUUAACAUGUAUGUACCAAGGUCCCUCUUAUUCUUGGGGCUCAGGAUAAUCACAGUCAAGAGGGAAGGGUUUCACACCUGAAUCCAGGUCAUGCUGUGUGCUUAACUUCACAUCCUGAUUUGUCACACAAUGGCAUAUCCUGAGAAUUUCCCCAUGCUGCUAAAACCGAGGCAGCGUUCUAUUUUGCUGGUGAUAUCACGUCCCAUGGGGUGGAUGUGCCAGGGUGCGUUUUGUCAUUUCCCAGGACUGGACAUUCCUUUCUGUAAGUGUUGAUGUCUGAAAUAUCUCACACACCUGUACCUGUGUCCCUGUUGACAUUUCCAGCGUCACCUGCAGGAUGCCAUGGGACACCCAUGAGCCCCGGCAUAUCUCCCAACACUGCUACCAUGCUGCUCUCCAGGGCUGCUCCAGGUCUGCCCCAGGUGCCGGGUGAGGGAGCUGUGGUGCCUGGUUCCAACCCAGGACGGGAGCAGCAUGGAGGACACUGAGGAUGCCAUCACCACCCCAGGUCUGUGUUAGGUCUAGAUUAGCCUGCAUUAAGAAGAAGGUGUUAUGUGCAUUUUAUUUUGUUUUGUUUUUUUUAAACAGAGUCUGGCCUUGUUGCCCAGGCUGGAGCGCAGUGGCACAAUCUUAGCUCAUUGCAACCUCUGCCUCCCGGGUUCAAGUGAUUCUCCUUCCUCAGCCUCCUGAGUAGUUAGGAUUAUAGGCCCGCGCCACCACACCCAGGUAAUUUUUGUAUUUUUAGUAAAGACGGGUUUUCACCAUGUUAGCUAGGAUGGUCUUGAUCUCCUGACCCUGUGGUCCACCUGCCUUGGCCUCCCAAAGUGCUGGGAUUACAGGCAGGAGCCACCACACCCGGCCUGGUGCAUCUGUUUAUGACUUACAAUUCCUCAUGGUAGUGACAACUGUCUCACUUAUCCUUUAGUGAAUCUUCUGUAGCUUCUCUAACCAUUUUCCACCGGGUCUUUUAAAUGGUCUUACGGACCUGUAUGGUUCCCUUUGACGUUAAGAAUGUUGCCCUAGUGAAACAGUCAAUAUUCUUACAAAGAUCGUCCUCAGUCUGUUGCGUGGGGUGAGGGCUCCCUUUGUACAUUUGGUUUUUUUGGGACAGGGUGCAGCCCCAGCCAGAUGGCGCCCACCUCUUCAGCCAGCGGCAGCUUGCUCUGCUGCGCUCGGAUUUCCCUACAGAAUUAAUACGUGUUCGUCCUGGAGAAAAUAGGAGAUAAAGGUGAGUGAAAAGGAGAACCCAAACCAAGGGGUCCUUGCCACACAGAUACUUCCUUAACACUUUGGAUUAAUAUGUAUCCUGCCAGUAUUUUUCUAUACCUGAAAAUAGAUGUUUUACAUGUGU